UCUGGCUGUUCAUAAGGAAGCCAUUAGCCUGGAACAUAUGCUGGGGCUGUGAAAAAUUAACCCCAGCCGUGUCCAGGCUCCAGCAGAUGGGUGCUGCUCUGCACAAGCUGAUGCAUUUGUUACUGACAUCCCGUCCUGAAGCUGAGGGCAGAAGGCUGAAAGCUGGAUAUGCCCUGGAGAUCAGUCUGUCCUGCCUUCCUCGGGGUUUAUCUUCUUAGGCCUUUCAGAGAUGGAUUUACGGGGGGAAAUCAGGAGGAGUGUAAUGCCCCUCAUCUAAAACAAUUUGCCCCAUCUUCAAACUUUCUGAAACAUUUGACUCACAUUCCUGAGUUAUCAAGACUUCUUCAUUCCGCAGAAUUACUGCAUAUGCCGGUACGUUACUCCUUCAUUCACUGCCUUUUUUAUUCAGAGUUGAUCGCUUUUUCAGAAACGCUAUAGAUGAUGUUACAAUUAGCUUAUUUCACACAGAACUAGCACAUUCAUCUACUCUCUCACUGUAAUUAGAGAGAAAAGUAGCA
rnacentral:lncRNA from 1 species